GAUGAACGCUAGCGAUAGGCUUAACACAUGCAAGUCGAGGGGCAGCACAAGGUAGCUUGCUAUCUGGGUGGCGACCGGCGCACGGGUGCGUAACGCGUAUGCAACUUGCCCUAUACAGGAGGAUAACCCGUCGAAAGACGGACUAAUACUGCGUAUGCUCACAACUUGGCAUCAAGUGGUGAGGAAAGAAAUUCGGUAUAGGAUAGGCAUGCGUCCCAUUAGCUUGUUGGUGAGGUAACGGCUCACCAAGGCAACGAUGGGUAGGGGAACUGAGAGGUUUAUCCCCCACACUGGUACUGAGACACGGACCAGACUCCUACGGGAGGCAGCAGUGAGGAAUAUUGGCCAAUGGGCGCGAGCCUGAACCAGCCAAGUCGCGUGAAGGAUGACUGUCUUAUGGAUUGUAAACUUCUUUUAUACGGGAAUAACAAGAGUCACGCGUGACUCCCUGCAUGUACCGUACGAAUAAGCAUCGGCUAACUCCGUG
rnacentral:rRNA from 1 species